UACGUAGGGGGCGAGCGUUGUCCGGAAUCAUUGGGCGUAAAGAGCGUGUAGGCGGUCCGAUAAGUCCGCUCUGAAAGCCCGGGGCUCAACCCCGGGAGGCGGGCGGAUACUGGCGGGCUAGAGUCCGGAAGAGGCAAGUGGAAUUCCUGGUGUAGCGGUGAAAUGCGCAGAUAUCAGGAGGAACACCGAUGGCGAAGGCAGCUUGCUGGGACGGUACUGACGCUGAGACGCGAAAGCGUGGGGAGCAAACAGG
rnacentral:rRNA from 1 species